rnacentral:ncRNA from 1 species
GAUAUGGGCGAAUAGUCACCCUGUGUGUGCGCGUGACCGUGAGGUCUAGCCUGCCCCUAUUUUCA